GAUGAACGCUAGCAGGAGGCCUAACACAUGCAAGCCGAGCGGUAGAGUUCCUUCGGGAACUUGAGAGCGGCGUACGGGUGCGUAACACGUGUGCAACCUACCUUUAUCUGGGGGAUAGCCUUUCGAAAGGUAGAUUAAUACCCCAUAAUAUAUUGAAUGGCAUCAUUUAAUAUUGAAAACUCUGGUGGAUAGAGAUGGGCACGCGCAAGAUUAGAUAGUUGGUGAGGUAACGGCUCACCAAGUCUGUGAUCUUUAGGGGUCCUGAGAGGGAGAUCCCCCACACUGGUACUGAGACACGGACCAGACUCCUACGGGAGGCAGCAGUGAGGAAUAUUGGACAAUGGGUGAGAGCCUGAUCCAGCCAUCCCGCGUGAAGGAUGACGGUCCUAUGGAUUGUAAACUUCUUUUGUACAGGAAUAAACCUAUUUACGUGUAAAUAGCUGAAGGUACUGUACGAAUAAGCACCGGCUAACUCCGUGCCAGCCGCCGCGGUAA
rnacentral:rRNA from 1 species